GCCACACCGUACCUACCGCGGGUAAUGACGAUGGCCUCUUGCCUCAUGGUGGUGGUGGCCAAUAUACAUGUACCCACCCGGCCACCCCAUGUGAUUCCAGAGCCCUGUCCGCCGAGGCGCCGAGCAGGGGAACACACUACCGGUACACGACAGCACUGGUACGUCCCCGUAGCUGUCGCCGCUGCCAUUGUCGUGCGUGGCCGCUACUCUUGCCAGGAUGCCGGUUGGGGAGGCGCCGGAGGCGGAUCGAACCCCCGUGCGACCGGGUGGAUUAGCAGCACGGGUUCUGCUCCCUUCUCUGCGGCGAGCAAGGAGAGAACUCCACCACGGAACAAGCUAUCGUUCCCCAGAGAUGCAGGAGCACGAGGAAGAGCAGCACAAGGGGAGGCGGUGGUGGUGGAUUUGGCGAGGAGGGGCUCCCUCGCCAGGCAGUCGAGGGCGUAGCACUGCUACGCCGGGCAGCACGGCAGGAGUGGCGAGCGCGGUAAGGUGGAAGAGGGGCGAUCAGGAGCAACGCAGCUAGUGGGCAUGGUACUGGGGAGAGCCGGAGAGGAAAGGACGGCGAGACAGAGAGCGAUGGCGCGCGGGAAGGUGGCCCACUUGUCGGCGCCAUGGGCGAGCGCGCAGGAAGGGGGUGCAGGCCACGGAGUGCUACGUGGCUGACUUUUGAGUAGAAAGAGAAUCGCCAUGAGAGCGAGCCAGGACGUGCGGCACAGACAAGCAGCCAUGCCCGGCGGCCAGCUGAGGGCAAGCAGGCAUGCGGCUGCUCCCUGGCCCUGGGAUUAGGUGCGCUGCCUCCGCCCUACUGCCCUUGCUGGCUUGGGUGCGGGAGACAAAUGAGUGGGGGGAUGGUCGCUGUCUCGCUGCUGCGAGGGGUGGGUGGGAAGAGGAGUCGCGGGCUCGGUGGGGACUACGGCGGCGGCGGCGAGCGGGCCGGAGGAGGAGCCGAGGGGGAGGCCGGAAGGGACGACGGACCUGGCCGUCCAAACCAGGGAGCCAUCUGCAAAUACCCGGGGGUAUUUUGCAAAAGAUCGGAUCGUUAUUAAUAGUCGCGAUCCAAAUUAGGGGGCUACAUAAAAAUAUAAUGGUGCUUUUUGUAAAAUACCGGAUCGAGAUAAUUAAUCUCGAUCCAAAUUAGAGGUGUAUAUGAAAAUAUAUUGGGGUCAUAUCGCAAAAACCCGGAUCGCGAUUGUUAAUCGCGAUCCAAACCAGGGGUAUUUUACAAACAUUUCGGGGAGCCCGCGAGGUCGCACCGCCGCGGCCCCGUCCCUCGAGCACACGCGCCCGGCCGCUGCCUUCGUCCUGGGCACGCCAGCGACGAUGAGCAAGCAUGCCCCCGUGCUCCGCGAGUUGGCGUAGGGCGGUGUCGAAGGCCGACGUGGGAUGGAGCGGCCGCCACACAAUCUCUAUCCGUCGCCUUCCCGCUCGGCUCGGCCACGCUGUCCUCGGCGGCGGCCAAUUCCACCUCUCGUGUUUCUUUCAAGCUGAAAGAACAGGAUGGCCAUGGCGUAAAUACCACCCUGACAACAGCCAUACAGGCCUCGGCCGUGGUGGCCGAAGCCUGCUCCGCCGAUGACCCCCAGCUCGUCGUCGCCGGCAGGCACUCGCCCAGGAAUCUGAGGCACCCAGCGGCGGCGGCGGUGUCGGCGAGGUGGAGCGUGAACUGGAAGUGGCUUCCGGCUGCUGCUGUCAGAGGAGGAGGGAGGCGAGCAGGGACUUGGCAGCAGCCAUGGUGGCAGCGGAGGUGUGUGGCCGUGGUGUUCGACGAAAUGCUGAUGGGAACCGGUGUGCCCAGGCAGCAGCAAAAGCGUGCUUAUUAAGCCUUCAGACCUUUGCUAAGGCGGAAGGCUGGAGCCCAGAGGUCAGGACACACCAACCGCGGGUGAUGAUGAUGGACUCAUGCCUCAUGGUGGUGGUGGCCAAUGUGCAUGUACACCACCUCCAUGUGAUUCCAAACCCUGGCCGCCGUGGCGCUGAGCAGGGGAGCGCUACCGGCACUGGUACGCCCCCGUGGCUGUCGAAAGGCUCAGGGAACGUGUGCCGUGGUGGUCGUACAGUGGUGCGCGGAGGACGGCAGAUUUUGGGAAAGUUUCCAUCCGUGCCCAUGUCCGUCCACUGCCCACUACCCGUGCGAGCCAAUGCCAGUUGAGCCGUGGCGCUUUCCAUGGGAUCAGCGACCUCGCCAUUUCUGGAGCGAUCGCAUGCGAUUUCAGAUAGGUUUUGUUUACAAAAUGUUAAAAGCAGUAUUGCUUUGUGACCUUAAA